rnacentral:lncRNA from 1 species
CAGGUCCUUGUGGCAGGAGCUCCCCUUGCUAGCAGGUGCUGGACUGCCAGAGUGGCCUGCCACUCCACAUUUAGGAAGGUCCCUUCUUGUCCUCAGCCAUGGACACCAAGUGCCACAUCAGUACCCAAUUCCUGGCCUCUCCAUCCUCAACCCACUUAUUCAUAUGGUGCCAUCCUUGCCUCCUGGCCAGCCCCACUCCAUAGCCAUUCCCCUGUCCUUACCAGCUGUGAUGGCCAUUUCAAAUGUCACUGUCUGGCUUUGCUCCUGUCUUCUGUUACUCCCACAGUACCUACAAUUCUGAGGCCCUGCCUUCCCCUUGCCCUGUGGUCUUUGACGCGCUGGCUGCCCCCCCUUCCUGGCCUGCCGCACCCUGCUUAUGCCUUGACUGCCUUGUUUUGUGGUUCAGGGUCAUCGUACUUUCCUGUAGACCCCUUCCCUGGGGAGUCCUCGUCCUGCCUUCUCUGCCCUUGCCCCCCUGAACGACUGGAGGAAAGCACAUGACGUGACCCCGGCCAGGUAGCCUUCAGCACUGCCCAGGGCCCCCUCGUCAGUUCACCCCGAGUCCAUGAAACCCCCAUGUUGUACUCUGUAGCUGUCUCCAGCUCUGCCCCCACUCUCAGCUGAUCAUCUUGCUUCUGAUCCCACUGAGAAACAGAAGUUGUCAGGAGUCCUUCAGCUACAGCAGGGCCACCUCCACCCCUAGGACAGCCACAGUCAAAAAACUAGACAACAAGAAGCCCUGGUGGGAGGGUGGAGGCCUGGUGCUCUGCUGGUGGGGAUAUGACGCCGUGCAACCUAGCACACCAGGAACAUGAGCUCAGUCAGAAGCCAGGCCACACGUUGUGUGACAAGAAAUGUCCAGAACAGGUAACCCAAGGAGACAGAAAGUGGGUCAUUGGCUGCCAGGGCCAGGGGCAGCAGGGGAUGGGAAGUGAUGGCUGACAGCCCAGGAUUUCCAUGUGGGAUGAGG